CUUCGAGCUAACAGCACCUAAGAUCUGGAUGAUGUUGGCAGGAUGUCCAAGAAAAACUUCUAAGCUUUGAAGCACACGUGACCGUACUAAAACUGACACAGGUAGGCGAGAUGAGAAGUCUCAGGCGCUCGGGAGAACGGUGAUUAAGGAACUCUGCAAAAUGGCCCCGUAAGUUCGCGAUAAGGGGCGCCUAGCAAUAGGCCACAGAAAAUCGGCUCUAGCGACUGUUUAUCAAAAACACAGGACGCUGCUAACACGUAAGUGGAUGUAUAGCGUCUGACGCCUGCCCGGUGCUGGUAGGUUAAGGAAGGCGGUUAGCUCCUUCGGGAGUGAAGCUGGCGACCGAAGCCCCAGUAAACGGCGGCCCUAACUAUGAGGGUCCUAAGGUAGCGAAGUUCCUUGUCGGGUAAGUUCCGACCUGCAUGAAAGGCGUAACGACUGGAGCACUGUCUCAAUCACCGACCCGGUGAAAUUGUAGUCGUGGUGAAGAUGCCACGUACCCGCGGUUAGACGGAAAGACCCCAUGAACCUUCACUGUAGGCUGAUAUUGGGUUGAGGUAUGUCUUGUGUAGUAUAGCUGGGAGGCUGUGAUCUGGGCGCGCUAGCGUUCAGGGAGCCAUCGUUGAAAUACCAGCCUGGUCAUGCUUUAAUUCUAACCCUGUACCCUAUAUCGGGUCAGGGAACAGUGUCAGUUGGGCAGUUUGACUGGGGCGGUCUCCUCCAAAAGAGUAACGGAGGAGUACAAAGGUCCAUUCAGCCUGGUCGGCAAUCAGGCGUAGAGCGUAAAGGUAUAAGUGGGCUUAACUGCGAGACAAAUAAGUCGAGCAGAUACGAAAGUAGGUCUUAGUGAUCCGGUGAUUCCGAAUGGAAGGGUCAUCGCUCAUCAGAUAAAAGGUACUCUGGGGAUAACAGGCUUAUCGCUUCCGAGCGUCCACAGCGGCGAAGCGGUUUGGCACCUCGAUGUCGGCUCAUCACAUCCUGGGGGUGAAGAAGCUCCCAAGGGUUUGGCUGUUCGCCAAUGAAAGUGGUACGUGAGCUGGGUUCAGACCGUCGUGAGACAGGUCGGUCCCUAUCUGCCGUGGGCGUUCGAAACUUGAGGAGGUUCAACUUUAGUACGAGAGGAUUUGGUUGGACGAAGCUCUGGUGUACCAGUUGUCACGCUAGUGGCAUGGCUGGAUAGCUAACUUCGGAAAGGAUAAACGCUGAAAGCAUCUAAGCGUGAAGCCCUCUCCAAGAUUAGGUUUCGUAUGCUGUUUACAGCGAAAGUCCCCUGGAAGACUACCAGGUUGAUAGGUCAGAUGUGUAAGCACGGUAACGUGUUCAGCUAACUGAUACUAACGAACGAAUACUUGACCAC
rnacentral:rRNA from 1 species